rnacentral:sRNA from 1 species
GCCCGGCACAGUAGUGCAUGCCUACAGUCCCAGCUACUCAGGAGGCUGAGGCAGGAGGAUGGCUUGAGCCCAGGAGUUCAAGGGCGGCCUGGGCAACACUGUGAGACCCUGUCUCUG